UGGCGACCGGCGCACGGGUGAGUAACACGUAUCCAACCUGCCGAUAACUCGGGGAUAGCCUUUCGAAAGAAAGAUUAAUACCCGAUGGCAUAAUAGAACCGCAUGGUUUGAUUAUUAAAGAAUUUCGGUUAUCGAUGGGGAUGCGUUCCAUUAGGCAGUUGGUGGGGUAACGGCCCACCAAGGCAACGAUCGGUAGCCGGACUGAGAGGUUGAACGGCCACAUUGGGACUGAGACACGGCCCAG
rnacentral:rRNA from 1 species